CGCUUGUACACUGAUGGACCCUUUAGCCGCGCGCAGCGCGCACACGUCCUGUAUUUGAAUUAAACGGCUCAAGCAUGCCCUGAAUGCCUGUUACCACCUGACGCUUCGACCGGCACCUGCGGCUAAGUGAAGAAACCCAAAACAGAAAGAUUGAUCGAGAGCAGGACAGAAGAGUCCUCCCUGAGGAGUGGCCCCAGUGGAUCCCCAGAUUCCCACAGAAGAUUCAGACAGCGAGAGAGAGGAGCCUCGAACAACGAGUGGCGGCCCAAGGUACCUCCAGGUAUACUCACUCUUUCACACAUACUGGACACUUUAAUUCCACUUCAGUUUUGCCCAAUCUGAUACAGUGGCCUGAUAAUUCAUAAACAGGUAUGAGUCAUACCACUCACCGUCCUCAACUGGAGUAGAGUUGGAUGAAUGGCCUCAAAUCUAUAACGUUUUAAGAAGAUUAUAGUGUUCAAAUAAUCCAUUAGAUGUAACAUGGGAUAGUACCCUCCAAUGUAUGAGUUUAUCUUGAUUGUUAUUAAUCUCUGCUGUAAUUUAAUAAUUGAAUAUGGCUUUUUUUCCAUUUUCAAACAGACAUUUCCAAAUCAAGAACCGAUAGAUCUUUAAGGACAGUCAUUGAAGUGUUCAGUUUUAAUGAUAUGUCACUGUUUGGAUUCUCUGUCUGAUAUGUGUAAAUGUGGCUCAAACUUGAAACUAAUCUUGCAGAGUCCGCCUAAUACCCAUUGUGAAUAUGAUGUUUGUUAUUAUGUGUUUGAUAGAUGUUUAUGGAUCGAAUUGAAGAAAAAUUGACACUGCUUAUUUAAACAGGCUGUUAAUGCUUGUCAUAUUUACAUUUGUUGGAAUUCAGCUAAUUGUAUUCAGGAUGUUAUUUUAUUUAUUUUCAUAUUUCUAUGCAUUAGCUCAGUAUUUUAUACUUUUUGUUAUUUAAAGAUAAAUCCAUAUUGUGAUCAGACUUGAUUAAAAAAACAUUGCACUUCUAA